rnacentral:lncRNA from 1 species
UCUCACCUGGCUUGAGAUUCUUGUUUGAUACACAUCUUUGAACUUUGACCUAGUAAACCCUAAUUCACGGAGUUAUGUGAUUGAUUCAAGGCAUGUUUGCAUUCAUGUUUCAUUAACCUUAUGGUCUUAUGAUCCAUUUGAUCCGAGUCUUAUUUCAUUCCCGCUUCAUCCAUUACUUUCAUGUCAAGAUUCAUUCAUGAUUUUAUUUAUAGCCUUAUUGAUACAA